rnacentral:rRNA from 1 species
UACGGAGGGUGCGAGCGUUGUCCGGAAUCAUUGGGCGUAAAGAGCGUGUAGGCGGUCCGUUAAGUCGGCUGUGAAAGUCCAGGGCUCAACCCUGGGAUGCCGGCCGAUACUGGCGGACUAGAGUCCGGAAGAGGUGAGUGGAAUUCACGGUGUAGCGGUGAAAUGCGCAGAUAUCGGGAGGAACACCAAUGGCGAAGGCAGCUCACUGGGACGGGACUGACGCUGAGACGCGAAAGCGUGGGGAGCAAACAGG